rnacentral:rRNA from 1 species
GUUACUCGCAGAAUAAGCACCGGCUAACUCUGUGCCAGCAGCCGCGGUAAUACAGAGGGUGCAAGCGUUAAUCGGAUUUACUGGGCGUAAAGCGCGCGUAGGCGGCUAAUUAAGUCAAAUGUGAAAUCCCCGAGCUUAACUUGGGAAUUGCAUUCGAUACUGGUUAGCUAGAGUGUGGGAGAGGAUGGUAGAAUUCCAGGUGUAGCGGUGAAAUGCGUAGAGAUCUGGAGGAAUACCGAUGGCGAAGGCAGCCAUCUGGCCUAACACUGACGCUGAGGUGCGAAAGCAUGGGGAGCAAACAGGAUUAGAUACCCUGGUAGUCCAUGCCGUAAACGAUGUCUACUAGCCGUUGGGGCCUUUGAGGCUUUAGUGGCGCAGCUAACGCGAUAAGUAGACCGCCUGGGGAGUACGGUCGCAAGACUAAAACUCAAAUGAAUUGACGGGGGCCCGCACAAGCGGUGGAGCAUGUGGUUUAAUUCGAUGCAACGCGAAGAACCUUACCUGGCCUUGACAUAGUAAGAACUUUCCAGAGAUGGAUUGGUGCCUUCGGGAACUUACAUACAGGUGCUGCAUGGCUGUCGUCAGCUCGUGUCGUGAGAUGUUGGGUUAAGUCCCGCAACGAGCGCAACCCUUUUCCUUAUUUGCCAGCGAGUAAUGUCGGGAACUUUAAGGAUACUGCCAGUGACAAACUGGAGGAAGGCGGGGACGACGUCAAGUCAUCAUGGCCCUUACGGCCAGGGCUACACACGUGCUACAAUGGUCGGUACAAAGGGUUGCUACCUAGCGAUAGGAUGCUAAUCUCAAAAAGCCGAUCGUAGUCCGGAUUGGAGUCUGCAACUCGACUCCAUGAAGUCGGAAUCGCUAGUAAUCGCGGAUCAGAAUGCCGCGGUGAAUACGUUCCCGGGCCUUGUACACACCGCCCGUCACACCAUGGGAGUUUGUUGCACCAGAAGUAGCUAGCCUAACUGCAAAGAGGGCGGUUACCACGGUGUGGCCGAUGACUGGGGUGAAGUCGUAACAAGGUAGCCGUAGGGGAACCUGCGGCUGGAUCACCUCCUUAACGAA